rnacentral:rRNA from 1 species
CCUACGGGUGGCAGCAGUGAGGAAUAUUGGUCAAUGGUCGAGAGCCUGAACCAGCCAAGUCGCGUGAGGGAGUACUGCCCUAUGUGUCGUAAACCUCUUUUGUCGGGGAGCAAAAGCCGGACCUGUCCGGCUGUUAGAGUACCCGAAGGAAAAGCAUCCGCUAACUCCGUGCCAGCGGCCGCGGUAAUACGGGGGAUUCGGGCGUUAUCCGGAUUUUUGGGGUUUAAAGGGUGCGCAGGCGGAUGUUUAAGUCAGCGGUAAAAUCGUGGGGCUCAACCCCCUCCAGCCGUUGAAACUGGGGAUCUAGAGUGUGCGAGAGGUAUGCGGAAUGCGUGGUGUAGCGGUGAAAUGCAUAGAUAUCACGCAGAACCCCGAUUGCGAAGGCAGCAUACCGGUGCACAACUGACGCUCAGGCACGAAAGCGUGGGUAUCGAACAGGAUUAGAUACCCCUGUAGUC